GGCAAGGUGGCCGAGUGGUUAAGGCGUUGGUUUUAGGAGGAAAUCCGAUCACCAAUGGGAAACCGCGCGAGUUCGAAUCUCGUCCUUGUCA